CUGAAGAAGGAAAUACAUGUUUCUUACCCCCCUGUAUAGGUCCCCGACCAUUCCAUUCCAGGUUCCAUUAUUGUAUGCUCCGAAGCCAGUGUUGGGGACAAGGACCGCACUGAAGUUGAGUGUCACUUGAAGAAGCUUGGCCAGGUCGGCAGCGUAACCUUCUGCCUCCGCGAGACUAUCCCCGUCGUUGAAGAGAAAUACUGUUGGCUUCUGAGAGAAAGUCAAGUCAAAGGACUCGCUAGGCCACAGGGGUCUCACGAUCCUCAUACCAGCCUGAGUCCAAGUGGCGGAUAAUUUCAAAUCCCAGGACCCGUCUCCAGGGUCCAGCACACUUGCUACAUUCACCCACCUGUAAUAAAAACCUCUUGGCAUGGUUA